rnacentral:rRNA from 1 species
UUAAAGAGAGUUUGAUCCUGGCUCAGGACGAACGCUGGCGGCGUGCCUAAUACAUGCAAGUCGAACGAACGGAGGAAGAGCUUGCUCUUCCAAAGUUAGUGGCGGACGGGUGAGUAACACGUGGGCAACCUGCCUGUAAGUUGGGGAUAACUCCGGGAAACCGGGGCUAAUACCGAAUGAUAAAGUGUGGCGCAUGCCACGCUUUUGAAAGAUGGUUUCGGCUAUCGCUUACAGAUGGGCCCGCGGUGCAUUAGCUAGUUGGUAGGGUAAUGGCCUACCAAGGCAACGAUGCAUAGCCGACCUGAGAGGGUGAUCGGCCACACUGGGACUGAGACACGGCCCAGACUCCUACGGGAGGCAGCAGUAGGGAAUCUUCCGCAAUGGACGAAAGUCUGACGGAGCAACGCCGCGUGUAUGAAGAAGGUUUUCGGAUCGUAAAGUACUGUUGUUAGAGAAGAACAAGGAUAAGAGUAACUGCUUGUCCCUUGACGGUAUCUAACCAGAAAGCCACGGCUAACUACGUGCCAGCAGCCGCGGUAAUACGUAGGUGGCAAGCGUUGUCCGGAUUUAUUGGGCGUAAAGCGCGCGCAGGCGGUCUUUUAAGUCUGAUGUGAAAGCCCCCGGCUUAACCGGGGAGGGUCAUUGGAAACUGGAAGACUGGAGUGCAGAAGAGGAGAGUGGAAUUCCACGUGUAGCGGUGAAAUGCGUAGAUAUGUGGAGGAACACCAGUGGCGAAGGCGACUCUCUGGUCUGUAACUGACGCUGAGGCGCGAAAGCGUGGGGAGCAAACAGGAUU